rnacentral:misc_RNA from 1 species
GAUGAAGAACGUAGCGAAAUGCGAUACGUAAUGUGAAUUGCAGAAUUCAGUGAAUCAUCGAGUCUUUGAACGCACAUUGCGCCCCCUGGUAUUCCGGGGGGCAUGCCUGUCCGAGCGUCAUUGCUGCCCUCAAGCACGGCUUGUGUGUUGGGCCUCCGUCCUCCUCCCGGGGGACGGGCCCGAAAGGCAGCGGCGGCACCGCGUCCGGUCCUCGAGCGUAUGGGGCUUCGUCACCCGCUCUUGUAGGCCCGGCCGGCGCUUGCCGACACAUCAAUCUUUUUUCCAGGUUGACCUCGGAUCAGGUAGGAAUACCCGCUGAACUUAAGCAUAUCAAUAAGCGGAGGA